rnacentral:lncRNA from 1 species
UAUUAUUUUUUUUUUCCUACAGACCACAGGCAAUUGCUGUUCCUCUCUUUUGAAAGAAACUCCGGCUGUACCUGCUCUUUCAUCUCCUUCGUGGAAAAAUGUCUAUCGGCUGGAAGCCCUAGGAGUCUUAAUUUUCAAGGAUUUUAGUUGUAAGAUGUUCAAGGCAUGAGACACACACCACCUAUUCAACCACAGGAAGUUUGGCCAGGCAUUGCGCUAGAUGCCAGCGGAGGAUAAGAACAUGAACUGGAAGCCAAAGAUGUAUUCCAGUUUCCUGGGAUAGGCAGUGACCGAAGAGGCAGGCAACCCCAUGGAGCUGAUAUUCUGCAAGAUGGCGGGUGGUAGCGGUGGUUGUAUUUGAAAUUUUAUUUGCUUCAAACACUUGUUGUCAUUGAACUAUUGGUGUUUGCUGCAAGUUGAGAAAGCUUGCCUUUUCAGUUUGUGCUUAGUGGAAAAUUUUAGACAGGUGUCAGGAAAGAUAUUCAGAUAAAGUUCAAGGAUGAGUAUGUAAAACUUGAAACAAAAGUUAUAGAAUUCUUGCGCAUUUCCUAAGGAAAAAAUAUGAAAUUCCAUAUAGAUUGUGCACUAUCUGGCAAGAAGUUGAGGAGAAAGGCGGAUAAUAGUGGUUCAGAGACCUUUGCUUCUACCAAAGGUAAAGGAUAAAAAUGAAAGCAACAGGUAAGGAGUGGCCUACAUCCUUUGUAUGGAAGGAUGUAGAGCAGAAGGAAUAUGAAAUGUGUGGGAUUAGUUCAAGAAGAAGGUUAGGUUGGGAAGAAAAAUGCUCCUAAUGGCUACUUUAUGACAAAUCGUGAGAAUUAGUCUCUUGAUACUUUGCAAAUAACUUUCAAGUUCUCUGUCUUACACAACCCUUGAAUUUACCCAGGAAGAGAACCAACUGUGGAAGAAGAGACGGCUAGCUAUAGCUUCUACAUAAUUUACAGAUUCAGGACCAGUCCACAAACACACCUUGAAUAGAUUAAUCCCACUUACUAGAAAAUGGAUAAAUAUUUGCUCAUUUGAGGUUAUGUAAUCACU